UCUGAAUCAAUUUCUUAGCUCUUCAACACAUUAAGAGUGAACAACUAAGGAUUUUAUCCUUCACCUCUUCAUCAUCUUUGCUCAGAAAUUAAACAUUAUAAAGAAGCACAUCCAGGACGAAGGUGUAGAAACAACAAAGUCGAAGAUACUUCAGCACACCACAAAGGGAGCUCCAAGAAGCAAGUAAAGCACCUUGAACACUUAAAUGAGCAUGAUGUAGCUGUAUGCUGGGCUUCGUUGUAUUUCAUCUUCAAUACUUACUGAAUACUAGAACAUGAUGUAAUUGUUUUGUGUGUAGGGUUUGCUGCAUUUCAUCUAUUUGGGUCAUGAUUCAGAUAUGUUAGAUAUGUUGUAUACUUGUUGCAAUUGUGUGUUGGAUUUGCUGCAUUUCAUCUAUUUGGAUCAUGAUUCAAAUAUGUCAUGUUGUUACUCCAUGGCUUUGCCAUAUCCAUUUUCUUAUCUUCGUUUUUCCUCUUCAUUCUUCAUCUCCCAUCACCGUAACAUAACCCCUGUCCCUGUACUUCCGAAAUUUCCUCUCCAACCACUCAUCAGACACACAACUCCAUCCCCGCUACUCAACAUCACACCGAACCAGAAAUCCCAACCAGCUUCAACACCUCGUCUUCAUCAAGACCCAAACUGCCUAGCACUCAUUCCUCACCUCCAUUGCCAUUCAUCACCGCCUAAGCACCAUCCAUCUCUGCACUCUCACUCCCUCUGCUUCACUCAUCAUCACCUUCACCUGCACGUUCCGCCUGCGAAAAAUAACAAAACCAGCACGCACAACACACUCCUCCUCACCACAGAUACCAUCCAUCAACCAACACACAUUCAAUUUCUCCAUCUCUGUUACAUCCAAAUUCAAAGAGCAACGCAGAACGAGAUCCCACCAGUGAGAGUGUUUUCUUGGAACAAAAAUCAUAACACACAAAACACCAAAUCGCAACCAGUCGAAAAUAAAAUUGAGGAGGAGAAAAUCGCCGGCGGAUGCCGCCGGAGAGUCCGAGAGGGCGCGGAACGGCGACGGUGCAUACUGCUGUUCCCGAUCCGGCGCGCGACGGUUGGAGGCUUGGGGAAGAGAAGAUGCUCCGCGUGAAAGAAAAGAAGGAGUGCCAUCGUCGACGUCGGUGGCGUUUUUGGUUGGCAGCGCCGGCGCUGACCUCGGUUGGUCGAAGCGGAGCCGGAGAGGCAAAUUGCGGAUGGCGCCGUUGGUCUCGUCGUGAAAAACGGUGACGCGGCGACGUUGGCGAGUCCUCUGGUGGUCGCCGGCGACUCUGCUGGGGCGAGUGAUGCGCCGCUCCGUGAGUUAGGGGUAAGGGGGAAGAUACCCACGAAGGAGGAAGAUCGAUCGGGAAGAAGGAUCAUGAUUCUUGACGGUGCUUCUCCCUACACCCCGAACCCUUUCUUCUGUACUUCUAAAAGUAUUUUUAAUUUCCGUUUUGACCUCACAAAAAGUAAAAUUAACAGAGAGAGAAAAAAAGUAUGCUGUGAAUAUCAACAUUCACAAGAUAAUCAGAUAUCCGUUGAAAUUGUACAGUAGAUAUUCACAUUUAUAAUGCAUUUUUUAAUUA